CCUACGGGAGGCAGCAGUGAGGAAUAUUGGUCAAUGGGCGCUAGCCUGAACCAGCCAAGUAGCGUGAAGGAUGACUGCCCUAUGGGUUGUAAACUUCUUUUAUAGGGGAAUAAAGUGCAGUAUGUAUACGGCUUUGCAUGUACCUUAUGAAUAAGGAUCGGCUAACUCCGUGCCAGCAGCCGCGGUAAUACGGAGGAUCCGAGCGUUAUCCGGAUUUAUUGGGUUUAAAGGGAGCGUAGGCGGGUUGUUACGUCAGUGGUUAAAGUUUGCGGCUCAACCGUAAAAUUGCAGUGGAUACUGGCAUCCUUGAGUACAGUAGCGGUAGGCGGAAUUCGUGGUGUAGCGGU
rnacentral:rRNA from 1 species